GGUUAAGUGAAUAAGGGCGCACGGUGGAUGCCUUGGCACUAGGAGCCGAUGAAGGACGGGACUAACACCGAUAUGCUUUGGGGAGCUGUAAGUAAGCUAUGAUCCAGAGAUUUCCGAAUGGGGGAACCCAAUAUCUUUUAUAGGAUAUUACUUUUCAGUGAAUACAUAGCUGAUUAGAGGUAGACGCAGAGAACUGAAACAUCUUAGUACCUGCAGGAAGAGAAAGAAAAUUCGAUUCCCUGAGUAGCGGCGAGCGAAACGGGAAGAGCCCAAACCAACAAGCUUGCUUGUUGGGGUUGUAGGACUCCGAUAUGGUAGUCUGUUAGUAUAGUUGAAGGAUUUGGAAAAUUCCGCUAAAGAGGGUGAAAGCCCCGUAGACGAAAUGCUGACAACACCUAGGAGGAUCCUGAGUACGGCGGAACACGAGAAAUUCCGUCGGAAUCCGCGGGGACCAUCCCGCAAGGCUAAAUACUCCCUAGUGACCGAUAGUGAACCAGUACCGUGAGGGAAAGGUGAAAAGCACCCCGGAAGGGGAGUGAAAUAGAUCCUGAAACCGUGUGCCUACAACAAGUCAAAGCUCGUUAAUGAGUGAUGGCGUGCCUUUUGUAGAAUGAACCGGCGAGUUACGAUUGCAUGCGAGGUUAAGUCGAAGAGACGGAGCCGCAGCGAAAGCGAGUCUGAAUAGGGCGAAUGAGUAUGUAGUCGUAGACCCGAAACCAUGUGAUCUACCCAUGUCCAGGUUGAAGGUGCGGUAAAACGCACUGGAGGACCGAACCCACGUACGUUGAAAAGUGCGGGGAUGAGGUGUGGGUAGCGGAGAAAUUCCAAACGAACUUGGAGAUAGCUGGUUCUCUCCGAAAUAGCUUUAGGGCUAGCCUCGGAAUUGAGAAUGAUGGAGGUAGAGCACUGUUUGGACUAGGGGCCCAUCUCGGGUUACCGAAUUCAGAUAAACUCCGAAUGCCAUUCAUUUAUAUCCGGGAGUCAGACUGCGAGUGAUAAGAUCCGUAGUCGAAAGGGAAACAGCCCAGACCACCAGCUAAGGUCCCAAAAUAUAUGUUAAGUGGAAAAGGAUGUGGGGUUGCACAGACAACUAGGAUGUUGGCUUAGAAGCAGCCACCAUUUAAAGAGUGCGUAAUAGCUCACUAGUCGAGUGACCCUGCGCCGAAAAUGUACCGGGGCUAAACAUAUUACCGAAGCUGUGGACUACACCAUUAGGUGUAGUGGUAGGAGAGCGUUCUAAGGGCGUUGAAGGUCGAUCGUGAGGACGGCUGGAGCGCUUAGAAGUGAGAAUGCCGGUAUGAGUAGCGAAAGACAGGUGAGAAUCCUGUCCACCGUAUGACUAAGGUUUCCUGGGGAAGGCUCGUCCGCCCAGGGUUAGUCGGGACCUAAGCCGAGGCCGAUAGGCGUAGGCGAUGGACAACAGGUUGAUAUUCCUGUACCAGUUGUUUUUGUUUGAGCAAUGGAGGGACGCAGUAGGCUAAGGAAUGCAUGCGAUUGGAAGUGCAUGUCCAAGCAAUGAGUCUUGAGUAGAGUUAAAUGCUUUACUCUUUAAGGACAAGUUGUGACGGGGAGCGAAAUAAUAGUAGCGAAGUUCCUGAUGUCACACUGCCAAGAAAAGCUUCUAGUGAGAAAACAACUGCCCGUACCGUAAACCGACACAGGUAGUCGAGGAGAGUAUCCUAAGGUGAGCGAGCGAACUCUCGUUAAGGAACUCGGCAAAAUGACCCCGUAACUUCGGGAGAAGGGGUGCUGACUUCGGUCAGCCGCAGUGAAUAGGCCCAAGCGACUGUUUAUCAAAAACACAGGUCUCUGCAAAAUCGUAAGAUGAAGUAUAGGGGCUGACGCCUGCCCGGUGCUGGAAGGUUAAGAGGAUGGGUUAGCUUCGGCGAAGCUCAUUUGGGCACUGUCUCAACGAGAGACUCGGUGAAAUUUUAGUACCUGUGAAGAUGCAGGUUACCCGCGACAGGACGGAAAGACCCCAUGGAGCUUUACUGUAGUUUGAUAUUGAGUGUUUGUACCACAUGUACAGGAUAGGUAGGAGCCGAUGAGACCGGAACGCUAGUUUCGGAGGAGGCGCUGGUGGGAUACUACCCUUGUGUUAUGAACCCUCUAACCCGCACCACUAAUCGUGGUGGGAGACAGUGUCAGAUGGGCAGUUUGACUGGGGCGGUCGCCUCCUAAAAGGUAACGGAGGCGCCCAAAGGUUCCCUCAGAAUGGUUGGAAAUCAUUCGAAGAGUGUAAAGGCAGAAGGGAGCUUGACUGCGAGACCUACAAGUCGAGCAGGGACGAAAGUCGGGCUUAGUGAUCCGGUGGUUCCGCAUGGAAGGGCCAUCGCUCAACGGAUAAAAGCUACCCUGGGGAUAACAGGCUUAUCUCCCCCAAGAGUCCACAUCGAC
rnacentral:rRNA from 1 species